rfam:Picea glauca, whole genome shotgun sequence.
ACAUGCCUACAUCAUAGCGUUAAUGCAGUUGAUCCCAUUAGAACUCUGCAGUUAAGCGCGCUCGGACUAGAGUAGUACUAGUAUGGGUGACCACCCGAGAAGUCCUAGUAUUUUACAUGCC